GUGUCUGGAGGAGAAGCAGAGGGAAGGUGUAAAUGGGGAUAAAUUAGUAUUUCAGGCUGCACAUCACCUGUCACAUAUUAGCCCUUUUGUGACUUAACCAUGUUGCUGGACCGCCUGCAAGGUGGAGCCGUGCUCCUGAGACAUGGCCAUCGGGAGGCGCUCCUGGACCCACAACUACAACCGCAACAACAUAAUGCAUGGUAGUGAACGUUGUAAUCAGUGAGUUUGUGAGAGAGCAUAUCUGCACUGCAUGUUCUUUAAAUUUAACAUUGUAUAAAAAUAUGCCUGCAUAUCUUAUAUUGAACAAUUGUACAUAAAAAUGUCAUGUCCCACGUGUACACCUUGCAUUCAAUUCAAAAUGGAUCUUUAUUGUUAACAGUUAGCCCCACAGUUUAUAUCACUGUGAGGUUAACAUGUAUUUUUAGAAAGUACUGAAAAUAAAACAGAGAAAUAUCC